rnacentral:tRNA from 9 species
UCAAACAAAAGGGAUUUUAACCCCUACCCCUAACUCCCAAAGCUGGGAUCCUAAUUUAGACUAUUGUUUG